CCUAUCAGCCUUAGACGGUAGGGUAUUGGCCUACCGUGGCUAUGACGGGUAACGGGGAAUUAGGGUUCGAUUCCGGAGAGGGAGCCUGAGAAACGGCUACCACAUCUAAGGAAGGCAGCAGGCGCGCAAAUUACCCAAUCCUAAUACAGGGAGGUAGUGACAAGAAAUAACAAUACAGAACCUUACGGUUUUGUAAUUGGAAUGAGUUAAGUAUAAACCCCUUAACAAGUAUCAAUUGGAGGGCAAGUCUGGUGCCAGCAGCCGCGGUAAUUCCAGCUCCAAUAGCGUAUAUUAAAGUUGUUGCAGUUAAAAAGCUCGUAGUUAAUCUUCUGUUAAUUUUUAUAUAUAAUAUCACGAUAUUUAUAUAAUAUUAACAUAAUUCAUAUUACUUUUUAGUAUAUGAAACUUUACUUUGAGAAAAUUAGAGUGCUUAAAGCAGGCUAUUGCCUUGAAUACUCCAGCAUGGAAUAAUAUUAAGGAUUUUUAUUCUUCUUAUUGGUUCUAGAAUAAAAAUGAUGAUUAAUAGGGACAGUUGGGGGCAUUUGUAUUUAACAGUCAGAGGU
rnacentral:rRNA from 1 species